GACGAACGCUGGCGGCGUGCUUAACACAUGCCAGUCGAACGGAAAGGCCCUGCUUUUGUGGGGUUCUCGAGUGGCGAACGGGUGAGUAACACGUGAGUAACCUGCCCUUGACUUUGGGAUAACUUCAGGAAACUGGGGCUAAUACCGGAUAGGAUCUCCUGCUGCAUGGUGGGGGUUGGAAAGUUUCGGCUGUUGGGGAUGGACUCGCGGCUUAUCAGCUUGUUGGUGGGGUAGUUGCUUACCAAGGCUUUGACGGGUACCCGGCCUGAGAGGGGGACCGGCGACAUUGGGACUGAGAUACGGCGCAGACUCCUACGGGAGGCAGCAGUGGGGAAUAUUGCACAAUGGGCGGAAGCCUGAUGCAGCAACGCCGCGUGCGGGAUGACGGCCUUCGGGUUGUAAACCGCUUUAGCCUGUGACGAAGCGUGAGUGACGGUAAUGGGUAAAGAAGCACCGGCUAACUACGUG
rnacentral:rRNA from 1 species